CCCAGAAGUUCUCUCUCCAGCACUCAUAGUUUGAGCAUGUACAGACUAUUAUUUCUUGUCGUUACUCCCUAAACAAUACAGUGUAGCAACUAUUUACAUAGGAUUCACAUUGUAUUAGGUAUUAUAAGUAAUCUAGAGAUUAUUUUAAAGUACAGGCAGUCCCUGGGUUAUGAAUGAGUUCCAUUCCCGAGUCCAUCUUUAAGUCAGAAUUGAAGUCGGAACAGGUACAUCUGGUCUUAUUUAGCGUCAGUUAGUCAAAUGUUUUUCUUAGUAUAUAGUAUAUAUUUUACCUUUCUAUGCAUAUAAAACUUAAGAAACAUAUGUAUUUCAAUAAUUAAACCACUGCAUUGCUUAGUAAUAAUUGUAGUUUUCAUCACACAGAACAACAGCAAAGCAAAUCUCUCACCUCCCUCUCACCCACGUAGCCGUGCAUACACACAGACAAUCCUCUAACUCCAGGACAGCCCAUCUCUGGACCUCCAGCCACCAAUAGACUCCCAGACACUGGACCUUUAACUUUGCUAAUGGAUUUACAUAUCCAAGGCUUUGGCCGCCAGGGCUCAUCUUCCAAACUUCAAUUGACCUUCAGGCUUCGAUCUUCUGUACCCACCCCAGGACUCGCCAAUUUUGACUACUGAGGACCCCAAGCACCAGGCCUCAAACUCUGGACUUGAGACAAUAAAUCUCGCAGAUUUCUACAGAUAUACCAUGGAGAGCAUUCCAAUUGCCUACAUCACCGCCUGGUAUGGAAGGGAGGAGUGCUAAUCCACAGGAUCAAACAAACCACACAAAAUGCUGGAGGAACUCAGCAAGACAGACAGCAUCUAGGGAGACAAACAAACGGUUGAUAUUUUGGGCCAAGACUCUGUACAAUGUCCUGAGUAUGUUACUCAAAAUGGCUUCUUUGGUUUGUAAUGAGUAGGAAUGCUUCUUUGUCUGAUAAGUGUUUCUCUCGCCGUUGUUCUGCUUUAAAAUGGCUGAUAUGGUAACUGUAUUCAUUUGUUAAUCAAUGGGGAAUGUUAUUGUGUCUUGUGAGGCUGGGAACUUAGGGGAGGGGUUUUCACGGGUUUUUGGUAUGAGGGGAGUCGGGAGAAAGACGCCGAGGGAGGUGGACGUGCGCUCAGAAGAUCACCGGGGAGUCUGGGGUGGAAGACGUGGAAGUCGGAGGCAAGCGACGAGGGGUCGAAUGGUUCGAUGGUUGAGCUCCGAGUGAACUAAACAGACUGAACUUUGAUAAGUUGGCACCUUUUGUUUUUUUCCUUAAAUAUAUAUAUUGUAUUGCCUAAUACUCUUUUAAUUUUAGUAAACUCUUUAAAGUGUAUUUCAUAACG